rnacentral:rRNA from 1 species
UACGUAGGGUGCAAGCGUUUGUCCGGAAUUAUUGGGCGUAAAGAGCUCGUAGGCGGUUUGUCGCGUCUGCUGUGAAAUCUGGGGGCUCAACCCCCCAGCCUGCAGUGGGUACGGGCAGACUAGAGUGCGGUAGGGGAGAUUGGAAUUCCUGGUGUAGCGGUGGAAUGCGCAGAUAUCAGGAGGAACACCGAUGGCGAAGGCAGAUCUCUGGGCCGUAACUGACGCUGAGGAGCGAAAGCAUGGGGAGCGAACAGGAUUAGAACU